UACGUAGGGUGCAAGCGUUGUCCGGAAUUAUUGGGCGUAAAGAGCUCGUAGGCGGUCUGUCGCGUCUGCUGUGAAAACUCGGGGCUUAACCCCGGGCCUGCAGUGGGUACGGGCAGACUAGAGUGCGGUAGGGGAGACUGGAAUUCCUGGUGUAGCGGUGAAAUGCGCAGAUAUCAGGAGGAACACCGGUGGCGAAGGCGGGUCUCUGGAACGCAACUGACGCUGAGACGCGAAAGCGUGGGGAGCAAACAGG
rnacentral:rRNA from 1 species